UACGUAGGUGGCAAGCGUUGUCCGGAUUUACUGGGCGUAAAGAGCGCGCAGGCGGUCGUUCAAGUCGCGUGUGAAAGCCCCCGGCUCAACUGGGGAGGGUCAUUCGAUACUGAUUGACUUGAAGGCAGGAGAGAGAAGUGGAAUUCCCGGUGUAGUGGUGAAAUGCGUAGAUAUCGGGAGGAACACCAGUGGCGAAGGCGACUACCUGGCCUGUUUCUUGACGCUGAGGCGCGAAAGCUAGGGGAGCAAACGGG
rnacentral:rRNA from 1 species